UGGGAACGCGAAGAACCUUACCUAGACUUGACAUCUCCUGAAUUACCCUUAAUCGGGAAGCCCUUCGGGCGAGAAGACAGGUGGUGCAUGGUUGUCGUUAGCUCGUGUCGUGAGAUGUUGGGUUAAGUCCCGCAACGAGCGCAGCCCUUAUUGUUAGUUGCUACCAUUUAGUUGAGCACUCUAGCGAGACUGCCCGGGGUUAACCGGGAGGGAGGUGGGAUGACGUCAAAUCAUCAUGCCCCUUAUGUCUAGGGCUACACACGUGCUACAAUGGCUGGUACAGAGAGAUGCUAAACCGCGAGGUGGAGCCAAACUUUAAAACCAGUCUCAGUUCGGAUUGUAGGCUGAAACUCGCCUACAUGAAGCUGGAGUUGC
rnacentral:rRNA from 1 species